ACUUAAACACUUGAGUGAAAGGCAUGCUUGGUAUAAUACAGAGAAGAUCAGCGCAACCCCUGCAGCAAGGAUGACAAGCAAAUUUGUAAAGCAUUCCAUAUUUUU
ensembl:snRNA U6 U6 spliceosomal RNA